CGAUUCUCCGGCCACGUCUUCUUUAGCCGACCACUGACCGACCCACAAUUUGUGUUUUCCAACGGUUAGCUUCUCUUCAAUUUUAAUUUCUGAGUUAGCUUAUUAGUCUACUUACUUGUACAAUGUAAGCCAAAAUACUUAUACAAACCUACCGCCAAAAUACUUAUACAAACCUACCCUACUUAUUUGUCAACUAGUUCCCUUCAUCAUUCAUCAUGUCUGGAAAGGAAAUUGUCCUUGAAAUGUUUUAGAAUAAUUGGGGGUUGUUGAACCUAGUCCAUAAGUUUCCUUCAAGAAAAUUCCUAAAUGGUUAGUAAUAAAUUAUUAAGUACUUUGAGGAUUAUCUACCGUUUUGAAACUUUUAGUUUUUAAAGUUGUUGCCU
rnacentral:lncRNA from 1 species